rnacentral:rRNA from 1 species
GUGGGGAAUAUUGGACAAUGGGGGGAACCCUGAUCCAGCCAUGCCGCGUGUGUGAAGAAGGCCUUUUGGUUGUAAAGCACUUUAAGCGAGGAGGAGGCUACCGAGAUUAAUACUCUUGGAUAGUGGACGUUACUCGCAGAAUAAGCACCGGCUAACUCUGUGCCAGCAGCCGCGGUAAUACAGACGGUGCGAGCGUUAAUCGGAUUUACUGGGAGUAAAGCGUGCGUAGGCGGCUUUUUAAGUCGGAUGUGAAAUCCCCGAGCUUAACUUGGGAAUUGCAUUCGAUACUGGUUAGCUAGAGUAUGGGAGAGGAUGGUAGAAUUCCAGGUGUAGCGGUGAAAUGCGUAGAGAUCUGGAGGAAUACCGAUGGCGAAGGCAGCCAUCUGGCCUAAUACUGACACUGAGGUGCGAAAGCAUGGGGAGCAAACAGGAUUAGAUACCCUGGUAGUCC